AUGUCUAGGAGAAAAUUCUUCUACAGCUCCUUCCUCUGUGUCUCCAGGGGAUCUAAAGUCAUAUGUUUUACAACUCUCCAAAAUAGACAAUCUCCACAUCAGAUUAACUACAGUAACUACAGCUGGAUUUCAAAAUCUGAUCUCAUCAAAUUACUUAGAGAAAGCAGCAGUCUAGGUAGAAGUGAACCUGAAAAUCUUUUUUCCAGUGUGCUCAGGAUGUUUUCUUUUUCUUCUGCAGUCAGGGAGGCCUCAAGAUGUACAACUAUGCAGUUACCAAGAUGGCCAACAGUUAAGAGGAAAACAACAAUACAUCUGUUGUUACGAUGAGGAUGCCGGUCUUCUGUUUUACUGGAAGAGCAGUCAGAAGAUACCACCAUAUGAGGACAUGACCCUGAGUGGAAGACAGUGUCUCCCAUGAGGUAGGAGGAAAGAAGGCAGGUGAGUGAUAUGGUUAAAACUCAUUCUACAAAGCACACAAGGCUUCUGUCUCCAUGGGUCACGAUAAAUUUUUUUAACACAGACUUUGAUUUCAUCUCGAUCUAUCUAGGACAAUGUUGAAAUUAAAUGGUAUCCAAAGUCUAGGCAACAGUAUCUUUGUCCUUGGAUCUGUGAAAUUCCACAAGAAAAGUGCUCAGAAAGAGUUGCAAGAAGUGAAGGAUUUAGGGAGUUUAGGAAUUAUUCAAACAAAACCAGUUAAAUUUAUAGGAAUCCCCAAUGAGGAAAGCAUUAAGAAUGGGAGUUUUGAAAUGAAAAUUUUCCACAUUAUUUCAGAGGUCCUGCUUCCUGACUGAAUGUUGCUUGUGUUUGCUCUUAUAAAUAAUAUUUCUUCCAACUGGCACCCUUAAACAGGAUCCAUUCAGACAAAUUUCAUGGGGCAUUGAGCAAUUCCGGUACCUUUCUCAAUCAAAACUAAAGGUUAUGUUAUUCUCCUUAUCCUUUCCUUUUGAGUGGCUACAAAGGAAGUUGUUGAUAUUAUUGUUAAUGUUUCAAAGAAAACUAGAGCUAUGAGUUAUUUUCUUAUGUGAAGCAGGGCGCCAGCCUUGGAAAUGUCCUUGAAGAAAGGCUUUUUUGGGUGCCACUACUCUUUCUCACAGGGCAAAGGGUGGUAAUAGCAGUCUUUAGUUUUCCACUAGUUUGCUGUCCUUUCUUUGCUGUGUUAGGUUAGGUUAUGGUUAGGAAUCUCAUUCUUGGGUGGCGGUGCACACAGCUAGUGUGACAAUUUGGUUGGCCUGGUGUGCUGGGAGGCACAAGGAGGGAGCCUUCGGGAAAUGCCCAUGAUUUCCAUCAACAAAGAAAAAAUUGGCUAGUUGGCAACUGAGGGUCAAAUCAAUAAUGAUUCUUUUGUGUGGGCACAGUUGGAACAAAAUGCCUUUCACCAAUUUUAAUAAAACCUCUGAAACAUGAUUGUAAAGGGACAUUGGGGAAAAUCUUGUGACCUCUUUGGAACAUAUAAGAAGGACUCUCAAGAUGACCUUUGAGUUCAGAGAUGGAAUGGAUCUCUGGGGGUGGCUCUUUCCAAUGAGCGCAGACCUAUAUGCUCAUUGACUGUUUUAGAAGGAAAGAAGAGACUUCAAGAGAAAAAAAAAAAAAAUAGAG
rnacentral:lncRNA from 1 species